rnacentral:rRNA from 1 species
AGAGUUUGAUCCUGGCUCAGGAUGAACGCUGGCGGCGUGCUUAACACAUGCAAGUCGAACGAUUGAAGCUGGAGCUUGCUCCGGCCGAUUUAGUGGCGGACGGGUGAGUAACGCGUGGGUAACCUGCCUCAUACAGGGGGAUAGCAGUUGGAAACGACUGGUAAAACCGCAUAAGCGCACGGUGUCGCAUGACACAGUGUGAAAACACUCCGGUGGUAUGAGAUGGACCCGCGUCUGAUUAGCUAGUUGGUGAGGUAACGGCCCACCAAGGCGACGAUCAGUAGCCGGCCUGAGAGGGUGAACGGCCACAUUGGGACUGAGACACGGCCCAAACUCCUACGGGAGGCAGCAGUGGGGAAUAUUGCACAAUGGGGGAAACCCUGAUGCAGCGACGCCGCGUGGAGGAAGAAGGUCUUCGGAUUGUAAACUCCUGUUGUUGAGGAAGAUAAUGACGGUACUCAACAAGGAAGUGACGGCUAACUACGUGCCAGCAGCCGCGGUAAAACGUAGGUCACAAGCGUUGUCCGGAAUUACUGGGUGUAAAGGGAGCGCAGGCGGGAAGACAAGUUGGAAGUGAAAUCCAUGGGCUCAACCCAUGAACUGCUUUCAAAACUGUUUUUCUUGAGUAGUGCAGAGGUAGGCGGAAUUCCCGGUGUAGCGGUGGAAUGCGUAGAUAUCGGGAGGAACACCAGUGGCGAAGGCGGCCUACUGGGCACCAACUGACGCUGAGGCUCGAAAGUGUGGGUAGCAAACAGGAUUAGAUACCCUGGUAGUCCACACCGUAAACGAUGAUUACUAGGUGUUGGAGGAUUGACCCCUUCAGUGCCGCAGUUAACACAAUAAGUAAUCCACCUGGGGAGUACGACCGCAAGGUUGAAACUCAAAGGAAUUGACGGGGGCCCGCACAAGCAGUGGAGUAUGUGGUUUAAUUCGACGCAACGCGAAGAACCUUACCAAGUCUUGACAUCCCUUGACGAUGCUGGAAACAGUAUUUCUCUUCGGAGCAAGGAGACAGGUGGUGCAUGGUUGUCGUCAGCUCGUGUCGUGAGAUGUUGGGUUAAGUC